rnacentral:rRNA from 1 species
GAUGGACGCUGGCGGCGUGCCUAAUACAUGCAAGUCGAGCGAACAGACGAGGAGCUUGCUCCUCUGACGUUAGCGGCGGACGGGUGAGUAACACGUGGAUAACCUACCUAUAAGACUGGGAUAACUUCGGGAAACCGGAGCUAAUACCGGAUAAUAUAUUGAACCGCAUGGUUCAAUAGUGAAAGACGGUUUUGCUGUCACUUAUAGAUGGAUCCGCGCCGCAUUAGCUAGUUGGUAAGGUAACGGCUUACCAAGGCAACGAUGCGUAGCCGACCUGAGAGGGUGAUCGGCCACACUGGAACUGAGACACGGUCCAGACUCCUACGGGAGGCAGCAGUAGGGAAUCUUCCGCAAUGGGCGAAAGCUUGACGGAGCAACGCCGCGUGAGUGAUGAAGGUCUUCGGAUCGUAAAACUCUGUUAUUAGGGAAGAACAAAUGUGUAAGUAACUAUGCACGUCUUGACGGUACCUAAUCAGAAAGCCACGGCUGACUACGUG